AAAAUUUUAAUAGCAAAAUAAUUUAAAUAGAUUUAUCAAUCACAGAAAUUUACCAUUACCUCAAAACACCCACUUAUGAAUACUAAUAAUUAUAAUAUAUUUCAUAUAAAAAAAAUCACUAGUGGAAUAUAUGUUGUCAUGGUAACAAAACACCUUAAAACCAUGGUAACUAGUAAAACAUCAAACAAUAUCCAGCCAAGAAUGGUUUAUGACACUGUCUUCAUACACUGUUACCAUGGUGAUAAUAUGUUCUGUUUCCGCGACAAAAAAAAAUCUAAUGCUAAAACAUUACUCUGACUUGAUGAUUAUUGUUUCUCUCCUCCUAUUGCAGGUUAUUUCAAAACCAAUUGAAAUAUGUUUCCAAACCCUGUUCAAGUGGUAAGAUAUUUUAGCUAACUGCUGCAGAAGAAGCACAAAAAAGUCAUCAAUGUUAAGCAUGCAAAUAUUGAUGCAAAUAUUGAAGGUGAUGCGGUUGCCAACAAUUGCUUACAUCCACUCCAUUUGAACUUUGAUAGUUGACUAUUUUGAUAUCAUUCCACAUCUCCUUAUAUAUAAAGUAAAAUUAAAGUAUAUUUGUAAUUUCAUACGGCAAUCUGUGGAGAGUAAUAUUAACAAUCAAGUCACUCUAAUAAACCUUUACUAAACUAUAUGAAAUAUAUAUAUACAUGUGUAAAUGAUAGACUUGAUAGCAUACAAUUUGUAUAAGUUUUUAUAGAUAAUUAUUAGAAUUAACCAUAGCACAACUUAUUCUCAUAAUCAAUUCAUCCACAACUGAACAAGUUACCAAAUCAUUUAAAAGAAAUACAUUGAAAUGUCUAAUAACCAGAUUCUGGUUUAAAAAAAAAUAAAUAGCACUUUAUUUGUCUGCAUCCAAAGCCCUUUUCUGGUAAAUGACUUUUAAUGGAACUUCAAAAAGAUCAGAGGUGUAUUUUUAAAGUGUUACCACUUUUAUUAAAAUGCUGCUUAUACCUUUGAUCCCAAUUUUCAUCAAAGUCCCAUUUGAAUGAAAUCUCAUCCAAAAAUAUUUGGGAAGUGGUUCACUUAAUGAAUCAACAAUGGUGUUUAGUGGUAAGGAAUGAUAUUUGGCUUAAUAUACAAAUAGACUUUGUUUUUAAAAGGGAAAGUUGAAAGUCAGUAAAAUAGUGCAUGACAGCUUGGUUUUGGCAUGUUUUUAUCUAUACAAAGUUAAUAAGGUCAAAUGAACAAUUGUAGAAUUUCUAUCCAGGAUAUGAUGAGAUUAAAAAAAUAUCUAAGCAAUGGCAUAAAUGCCAUGGACAAUUAUUUCUCAAAGAUUCACUUAUAGCAACUUACAGUGUGAUUUAAAAAAAUAUCUUGUCUAUAAAGGAUGGUGUCCUCAAUAACCUCACUUAAAAUGCCACUUAAAGAACCUCUUUCAAAAGCAGAAAUAUAAAAUAACAAAAUCUGAGAUCAUAUUUCUCUUUAACCCUGUUUACACUGGCAAACAAAAUUGAAUCGAUUUUAAAAAGACCAGUUCGCGUUUACAUUGCACAAGCAAGAUCGAUUGAGAUCGACCGUAUUUAAUCCAGUGUGUUUACACUGCAACAUAAAAAGAACUGGUCUGACCUUUAUUUUCAUAUCUAA
rnacentral:lncRNA from 1 species